GCCUUGCAACCUCGGUGCGAUAUAGUAAAGGUUGAAAGAAAAAAUAAUUCCUGGCGUGCGGCGACGGUAGCCGGGCCGGGACCUUCCAAACAGAGCGUAGAAACCCAAGGAGCGCGUAAUGAUGACGCAAGACGCAGCCAGAAUAUUUUUUCUUCCCCAGCGACGCGGGAGCGGAAAAUGUCUAGGCUCGCGCUGUUGUCAUGGAAGAUUGGUGAUUUUGGUCUCACCAGGCCCUCUCUCUGGUGUUUGAGGGAUUUUGGACUGAACAAGGUUAUUCUGCCUUUUCAUGGCAAUAGAAGUGAUCUCCGGUGAGUGGCACCUGUGUCAGCUGAGAGAACAAAGUCCCUUCCUGCAUGCUGGUCACCUUGAGGUCUCUACUGCCUGUGCCAGCCAUUGGCACAAAGGGAGCAACUUCUGGGGGCUCUUAUAAAAGAGAUCCUACAACUUCCCAGCCCCUUCUACCAUGUGAGGGUAUAACAAGAAAUCUGCUGCCUGGGAGAAAACCAUUACCAGAUCAUGCUGGCACCCUGAUCUUGGACUUGUAGCCUCCAGAAAUGACUAGACAUUCAGAGGUAGAAGAGCAAGGCUGUGGGAUGAGGAAACUAAGGAUCCAGUAUGGUAUCUAAUUCACAUGAGAUUAUUCAGGGAAAACAAAAUAUCUCCUGGCAAGUUUUAAAAGGAAUUCAUCACAUGGAGCUCUUCAGAGGGAUCAUAGAGUAUAGUUUGGACAAUAAUUUCAUUAUUUCUACAAAAUUAGAAGAAACAGUUUUCAAAAGACUGUCGUAGAUUAUUUUUCAUUAAAAGCAAAUGGCACAAAAAAUUAUAGAAAUAGUACAUCUUCAUACAGUUAAUUGUUAAGAUCAGGGCUCAAAACAUGGCCCAUGCAUGAGUAUUAAUCUGUGUGUGGUAGGCAGAAGGCCAGGAUGGCCCUCAAGAUUCCCACCCCUAGUGUAUACAUUCUGAAUAAUCCUUUUCCCUUGCAUGUGAAUAGAACUUGGGAAUAUGAUGAGAUGUCACUUGUGAUUAUAUUUUGUUACAUGGUAGAAGUGAUUUUCCAGAUUAAUUAAGAUCCGUAGUCAAUUGACUGAGUUAAUCAAAAGAGAGAUUACUUGAAGUGAGUAUGACCUCAUCAGGUACCCUCUUAAAAGAGAUCAAGAGAUGUUUCCUCUCCGCCCUUGAAGAAGCAAACUGCCAUGUUGUGGAUAGGAACAUAUGUCAGGCAAGUGUGGGGUGCCUCUAGGAGCUGAGAACGACUCCACUUGACAGCCAGCAGGAAAGCAAGACCUGGGUUCUACAAUUGCAAGGAACUGAAUUCUUCUAAUAACCAGUAAGCUUGGAAAAGGACCCUGAACUUCAGAUGCAAUUGCAGCCCCAGACGAUGCCUUGAUUUCAACCUUGUGAGACUUAGAGCACAGAAUCAGCUACACCAUGCUGGACUUCUAAACUGUGGAAAUGGUGAGUUAAUAAAUUAUAUUUUAAGCUGCUAAAUUUGUGAUAAUAUGUAACAUGGCAAUAGAUAACAAAUAAACCAUGUGUGGGAAAACUCACAGACCAGUAAAUUUCUCCCAAAUACUUGUCCCAACUUCAGAUUUUAGAAAAUAAAGAAAUAAUCGAAAGUAACAGCUGUUACAGAAGUUGGAAACUAGUGUCUGUACCCAGAAUUCAGCUCUGGAUGAAUUUGCCUACUUUGUAUUGUUAAUUUUUUUUUAAAUUCCAUUUUCAACAUUUUAAAUUGAGAUAUUAUGUAUUUCUGGCUUUCUUUAAAAAGCAAAAGGAACACUGGGCCCCAAUUCUACCUAGAAAUAACCAGCUAGUUUAAGAAGUUAGCAAUAGUUUCUUCCUCUAAAUGGGACGACUGUUUCCAUUUUGUUGUAUUCCCCUCCACUCUGUGAUUGCACCAAGUUACUUUUCUGUUUUCACUGAUUUGUAUUAUCUGUGUUUCUGACUCCUGUAUUACAAAUAAGAUAAAUUACAAGAUAAAUAUGAUAAA